CGAAACUGCGAAUGGCUCAUUAAAUCAGUUAUCGUUUAUUUGAUAGUACCUUACUACAAGGAUAACCGUGGUAAUUCUAGAGCUAAUACUUGCAAAAAAUCCCGACUUCGGAAGGGAUGUAUUUAUUAGAUUAAAAACCAAUGCCCUUCGGGGCUCUCUGGUGAUUCAUAAUAACUUCUCGAAUCGCAUGGCCUUGCGCCGGCGAUGGUUCAUUCAAAUUUCUGCCCUAUCAACUUUCGACGGCUGGGUCUUGGCCAGCCGUGGUGACAACGGGUAACGGAGAGUUAGGGCUCGACUCCGGAGAAGGAGCCUGAGAAACGGCUACUACAUCCAAGGAAGGCAGCAGGCGCGCAAAUUACCCAAUACCGACACGGUGAGGUAGUGACAAUAAAUACUGAUACAGGGCUCUUUUGGGUCUUGUAAUUGGAAUGAGUACAAUUUAAAUCCCUUAACGAGGAACAAUUGGAGGGCAAGUCUGGUGCCAGCAGCCGCGGUAAUUCCAGCUCCAAUAGCGUAUAUUAAAGUUGUUGCGGUUAAAAAGCUCGUAGUUGAACNUUGGGCCUGGCUGGCCGGUCCGCCUCACCGCGUGCACUGGUCCGGCCGGGCCUUUCCCUCUGGGGAACCGCAUGCCCUUCACUGGGUGUGUCGGGGAACCAGGACUUUUACUUUGAAAAAAUUAGAGUGUUCAAAGCAGGCCUAUGCUCGGAUACAUUAGCAUGGAAUAAUAGAAUAGGACGUGCGGUUCUAUUUUGUUGGUUUCUAGGACCGCCGUAAUGAUUAAUAGGGACAGUCGGGGGCAUCAGUAUUCAAUUGUCAGAGGUGAAAUUCUUGGAUUUAUUGAAGACUAACUACUGCGAAAGCAUUUGCCAAGGAUGUUUUCAUUAAUCAGGAACGAAAGUUAGGGGAUCGAAGACGAUCAGAUACCGUCGUAGUCUUAACCAUAAACUAUGCCAACUAGGGAUCGGACGAUGUUAUUUUUUGACUCGUUCGGCACCUUACACGAAAGUACAAGUUUUUGGGUUCCGGGGGGAGUAUGGUCGCAAGGCUGAAACUUAAAGAAAUUGACGGAAGGGCACCACCAGGAGUGGAGCCUGCGGCUUAAUUUGACUCAACACGGGGAAACUCACCAGGUCCAGACACGAUGAGGAUUGACAGAUUGAGAGCUCUUUCUUGAUUUCGUGGGUGGUGGUGCAUGGCCGUUCUUAGUUGGUGGAGUGAUUUGUCUGCCUAAUCGCGAUAACGAACGAGACCUUGACCUGCUAAAUAGCCCAUAUUGCUUUGGCAGUAUGCUGGCUUCUUAGAGGGACUAUCGGCUCAAGCCGAUGGAAGUUCGAGGCAAUAACAGGUCAACGCAUCGCAGGCCUGUAAUAGUUUAAAUAACGCUAGUCCGCUGGAUUUACAGCGGGCGACACUACCUUGUACAGGGGACGCAGUGCUCGUCUUGGGAGUCUGCCAAUCCUGUGGCGAGCCCUUUGGGCCGUCGCAACGCGCGCAGGGAGUGGGCUGGGGCUUAUUGGCUCCGGCUUAAGAUACGUGCUAAGCUACUGGGUGAAAACCAGGCUUCGCGCUUAAAAACGCGGAGGAUUUCGUGACGAACUUAGAAAUAGACUGCUGUGAUGCCCUUAGAUGUUCUGGGCCGCACGCGCGUUACACUGACAGAGCCAGCGAGUUCUUCCUUGGCUGAAAAGCCCGGGUAAUCUUGUUAAACUCUGUCGUGCUGGGGAUAGAGCAUUGCAAUUAUUGCUCUUCAACGAGGAAUUCCUAGUAAGCGUAAGUCAUCAACUU
rnacentral:rRNA from 1 species